rnacentral:lncRNA from 1 species
GAAACAUGUAUGGUUAUCACAAAUUUUUAAUUCGUUUACAAAGUUUGAACACAUGUAGCCUACACCGUUCCCAACUUUUCUUUACACUCGUAAAUUACUCGUGCUCUCUCUCUACAGUCAAUAGUGGGCUUAAGCAAGCAACGUUUUUAUCAACAUGGACGUCACCGAAAAUUGGUGUAUCUAAUUUUGGCCGCAUUUUACAUUAUAGCGCAAGUGUAAGGAAGCGAAAAACUUUAAAAAUGUUAUGUUUUGUCCUAUGUGUUGAAGAUUAACACAAACUGAUACAAACACAGUUUUCAAUCCAGUCCCUAUCGGCAGUCCGACGUCCGUGUUGACAAAAACGUCGCUUGAGUGUAUCUUGUUCAUGAAAUUCUAGCCUACGAGCAAGCUCUCAAGGUGAAAUGAGAGCCUGUACUGGGGGCAUACAAUUUUGAAUAUCUGCGUCUCGAAUCGGGACGCGAAAUUCUCAUUGGUUAGAUGCUAUAAUUUAUAUGCUUCCGCUGAACACUAUAUGCCAACUGCUAAAGCACUAUGCAUAAAAAAAACACAUUAAUUGAUCAAAUAGGUAUUGGCCAUCUUAAUCAUAUUACAACACGAAAUGUUCUGUUUUGAGAAAACCGUAUCUAAAACAUUUAAAUUUGUGCUUGAAUAUCUUAUAUUUUGAAAAAUAGUACAAACUGUACGGUCUAAAUUUAGUUCACACGAAAGUUGUAAACAACACCAUAUAAGGAUAAACAUUCCAUAUUUCGAAAAACGAGCGUUACGGGGUAGAUAUUCAAAAUUGUAUGUCAUCAGUGCAGGCUCUCAUUUCACCUUGAAAAUCUAAUAUCCCCACUACGUCAAUCGAGUAAACGCGAGACAUAAUGUCUUUUUGUUUUCACGAAUGCUUCCUUGAUCUUCACCUAUAUAAUGUUGCAAUUUAUGUCUUUACGUUUCUAAUUACAAUUUUUUUACAUUUUAUGAACAACACGCUUUUGUACGAGUUUGUUGCUUCUGACAUUCCCUUAAGUGUUCAUAGUAGUGAGUUUAACUGUAGCGAAACUAAUCAGUAUGGAUAUGGAGUAAUUCUUAUCAUUAUAUACAGAAAGUCUGGAUAUGAGGUAUUCUGCAAUCUGAUUGGUUCUCUACUGGCAGAAUUUUAGCUCAUACUGCUAGUAAAAAAAAACAAAAUGGCGGCUGAAAUUGAAUUUCCCUUAUUUCCGAUGUUUUGCGAACGAGAAAACUGCAAGUUGUUCGCUUUUUAUAGCCAUUAUAGGAUUAAAAAUACAACGAAAAACUCCCACAAAUUGUUUACAGGUAAGCAAAUAAAUUUUAAAAUUUUAAACGGUUAAAAAUAUCUAUUUUUGAAAAAAUAAUCGGCCGAAAGAGCGACGAUAAAAAACAUAAACAAAAUAGAAAACUAUUGAAAAUAUCCGAAAAGCAAAGUCUGCGAAUUCAGAACUUGUAUAUAUAUAAUAAAACAGUUAUUCCACUAACUCUCGUCAAAUAUGAGCGAUAACCGAUUGGGCGGUACGCGCUCCAUCGGCUAUCAGCUUAUAUUCGACUCGAAUUCGUACAAUAACUGUUAAUUAACGUUACAAUAUAAUAUUACAAUAAUAUAACGUUACAAAUGCCACAUUGAUACUUACCCUAUACCGUAACAGAUACGUAGACGACGUCUUUGCUACAGUUAAGAAAGACAAGACGCAGUGGCGUAGCCAGCCUGACAAUUUAGUCCCGCUAUGCAAAAUCAAUCUUAUUAUCAUUAUUCAUUUCUUUAGAAAUAGAUUGUUUUCGCAGUCAAUGAACACAAAAAUAUUUGCGUAGCGGGACUAAAUCGUCGGGCUAGCUACGCUAGUGAAGACUGACAACAUUUUACAUACUAUAAACAAUACUACACAAAAUGUAAAAUUCGCGAAAGAAGAAGAUAACAACCAACUUACUUUCCUUGACAUUUUGUUGACAAGAACUGAUGACGGCACGAUUAACACAUAGGUCUACCGUAAGAAAACGCACAUUGACCAAAUACUGAAUUUUAACAGCAACCACCCUACCCAACACAAAAUAACAGAGCUGUAUAAAAAGCUUAUUCAACCGAAUAGAUACGCACUGUAAGACAGAACAAGCUAAACAAACAGAACGCAAAUAUCUAUACUCGAAAAAAAACUACCCUAUAGGCAGGGGCGGCGCUACAGGGGGGUGUGUGGGGGAGGGAACACCCCCCACUCGUCAGCUAAUCGGCAAAUUGUUAUCUCAGUCGGCAAAACUGGAUUGGCUAAAGAUAACCACUGAAGAAACCAAAAUUGACCUCCUGAAUAAUUGAAUUCAAACCGAAUAUCACGAAUAGCAUGCAUCAAUGAAACCACACAUGCAGCAAUCCAAAUUUUUUCGAAUACAGUAUCUUCACUUCUGGCAGCUAGUCCAAAAACAUCAGCCUAGUCCCAGGCUCUCUCUCUAUUCGCUGCUU